rnacentral:rRNA from 1 species
GACGAACGCUGGCGGCGUGCUUAACACAUGCAAGUCGAACGGAGCGAAUGAAAGCUUGCUUUUAUAAGCUUAGUGGCAAACGGGUGAGUAACACGUAGGCAACCUGCCGACAGGAUGGGGACAACAUUCCGAAAGGAAUGCUAAUACCGAAUGAAGCGCAGGAGAGGCAUCUCUCCUGCGUGAAAGAUGGCCUCUAUAUAUAAGCUAUCACCUGUCGAUGGGCCUGCGUCUGAUUAGCUGGUAGGUGAGGUAACGGCUCACCUAGGCGACGAUCAGUAGCCGGUCUGAGAGGAUGAACGGCCACAUUGGGACUGAGACACGGCCCAGACUCCUACGGGAGGCAGCAGUGGGGAAUCUUCCGCAAUGGGCGCAAGCCUGACGGAGCAACGCCGCGUGAGUGAAGAAGGUCUUCGGAUCGUAAAGCUCUGUUGAUGGGGACGAACGUGCCUAAUGCGAAUAGUAUUAGGUC